GGAGGGUGCGAGCGUUGUUCGGAAUUACUGGGCGUAAAGGGCGUGUAGGCGGUGCUAUAAGUCAGAUGUGAAAGCCCAUGGCUUAACUGUGGAAGAGCAUUUGAAACUGUAGUACUUGAGUAUGGGAGAGGGGAGUGGAAUUCCCGGUGUAGAGGUGAAAUUCGUAGAUAUCGGGAGGAACACCGGUGGCGAAAGCGACUUCCUGGACCAAUACUGACGCUAAGGCGCGAAAGCGUGGGGAGCAAACAGGAUUAGAUACCCUGGUAGUCCACGCGGUAAACGAUGAACACUAGGUGUGGGGGGAGUUGACCCCUUCUGUGCCGCAGCUAACGCAAUAAGUGUUCCGCCUGGGGAGUACGGCCGCAAGGUUG
rnacentral:rRNA from 1 species